rnacentral:rRNA from 1 species
GUAACAAGGUUUCCGUAGGUGAACCUGCGGAAGGAUCAUUACUGAAUUGUCAACAAGAGUUGUUGCUGGUCCUCGGACAUGUGCACGCUCUGUUCACACAUCCACUCACACCAUGUGCACCCUCUGUAGUUCUAUGGUCGGGGGGCCUGUCCUCCUGCUGUGGUUCUGCUUCUUUACACACACACUGUAACAAAGUCUCAUGGAAUGCAUGCAGCGUUUAACGCAAUACAAUACAACUUUCAGCAACGGAUCUCUUGGCUCUCGCAUCGAUGAAGAACGCAGCGAAAUGCGAUAAGUAAUGUGAAUUGCAGAAUUCAGUGAAUCAUCGAAUCUUUGAACGCACCUUGCGCCCUUUGGCCACCCCCAAAGGGCAUGCCUGUUUGAGUAUCAUGAACACCUCAACUCUUCAUGGUUUUCCAUGAUGAGCUUGGACUUUGGGGGUCUUGCUGGCCUUAUAAGUCAGCUCCUCUGAAAUGAAUCAGCUUGCCGGUGUUUGGUGGGCGUCACAGGUGUGAUAACUAUCUACGCUUGUGGUUUUCCACCAGGUAACCUUCAGCAGUGGAGGUUCACUGGAGCUCACAGACGUCUCUCCUCAGUGAGGACAGCCCUUUGAAUGUUUGAUCUCAAAUCAGGUAGG